GACGAACGCUGGCGGCGCGCCUAACACAUGCAAGUCGAGCGAUGAAAUUUUAACCGAUCUCUUCGGAGAGAAGAUAAAAUGGAUUAGCGGCGGACGGGUGAGUAACACGUGAGAAACCUGCCUUUCACAAGGGGAUAGCCUCGGGAAACCGGGAUUAAUACCCUAUGACACAUUUCCUUCGCAUGGAAGAAAUGUUAAAACUCCGGUGGUGAAAGAUGGUCUCGCGCCUGAUUAGCUAGUUGGUGGGGUAACGGCCCACCAAGGCCAUGAUCAGUAACCGGGCUGAGAGGGUGAAAGGUCACAGUGGAACUGAGACACGGUCCAAACUCCUACGGGAGGCAGCAGUGGGGAAUAUUGCACAAUGGAGGAAACUCUGAUGCAGCGACGCCGCGUGAGCGAUGAAGGCUUUCGAGUCGUAAAGCUCUGUCCUAUGGGAAGAUAAUGACGGUACCAUAGGAGGAAGCCCCGGCUAACUACGUG
rnacentral:rRNA from 1 species